GACGAACGCUGGCGGCGUGCUUAACACAUGCAAGUCGAACGGAAAGGCCCUGCUUUUGUGGGGUGCUCGAGUGGCGAACGGGUGAGUAACACGUGAGUAACCUGCCCUUGACUUUGGGAUAACUUCAGGAAACUGGGGCUAAUACCGGAUAGGAGCUCCUUCUGCAUGGUGGGGGUGGGAAAGUUUCGGCGGUUGGGGAUGGACUCGCGGCUUAUCAGCUUGUUGGUGGGGUAGUGGCUUACCAAGGCUUUGACGGGUAGCCGGCCUGAGAGGGUGACCGGCCACAUUGGGACUGAGAUACGGCCCAGACUCCUACGGGAGGCAGCAGUGGGGGAUAUUGCACAAUGGGCGGAAGCCUGAUGCAGCAACGCCGCGUGCGGGAUGACGGCCUUCGGGUUGUAAACCGCUUUCGCCUGUGACGAAGCGUGAGUGACGGUAAUGGGUAAAGAAGCACCGGCUAACUACGUG
rnacentral:rRNA from 1 species